GGGAAGCAGAAGCUGGUGGAAGCAACUUUAUGGUGCCAUAAAGUGGGAGCAGCAGAUGGGACUUCCUAAUGCCUGGAAUGAAUAAAAUGCAUCUUGCAAUGUUCAAACUUUUUAUCUUUUAAUUAAAAUCCCAAGCUGUAUAAUGUGUUCCGAUAAGUAAUGUAACGGUUGCAGAAUUCUAACGUUGUAGUGAAAUGUUAUGAAAUAUAACUUCAGCUAUGUGCUCUUAACUGCUGCAGCUAAAGAGAGGGUUUUGUUUUCUUCAAUUAUGCCUUUGUAGUUCAAAUUCUUGGAUUUUGAAUGCACAUAUCCAUUACUUAAUUGGCUUAUUUACAAUUUUAGCAACUCUUAGCACCCAUGUUUUAUGCAAGAAAUAGAAGGAAUUGUUAUGAAUAUGAAAAAGUAAUUCCACAUUUUAAAGAGUAUUCAAACCUAAUUUAAGACCAAAGUCCAGAACCAUUGAUCAGUCUAUUAAAAAUAUAAACUUUAGUAGCAUUAUGCUGUGAGUUUGGAGGUAAUGUUUUUACAAGUACUAUGUAAAGUUCAUAAAAAUCCUGUGUAAGUUUCAAAGCAAUCUAAAAGCAGAUGUCUCAACAUGAUAUUAAAAAAAAAGUUGUAUUUCAUAAGUUUUGUUGUAUAAAUACUUGUUUUAAUUUUUAGUAUUUCAGAUUGUAUUUUCACUUCAAUAAUUUAUAAUGAUGAAUCUAGUUUUUAAUCAACUGCUAUUGCAAGCUAUCAUGCUUCAGUGUUGUCAUCUGCAUUUGUUUGUAUUAAUGUUAAUAUUUCUAUCAAAAUUUGUCUGUGGGAAAACAUGCAAUACUUGGGAGAGAGCCUAUGAAGCUAUUGUCAGCUUCUCUAUUUCAAAAUGGAGGCAGCAUAAAUAUAUUGAUAUCAGAAAUACGUGGUUUUUAAAAUUUAUUGGUGUAUGAUAAAGAUGAUCUGAUCUGUGAAUGCAUAUGCGUGUGUGGUUACUUUUUAUAAUGUAAAAAUAUGAAAGAAGAUUUACUCAAAAUAAAACCUAGGACAAUGCUGUACA
rnacentral:lncRNA from 1 species